rnacentral:rRNA from 1 species
UACGAAGGGGGCAAGCGUUGUUCGGAAUUACUGGGCGUAAAGGGCGCGUAGGCGGUGCACUAAGUCAGGCGUGAAAGCCCCGGGCUCAACCUGGGAACUGCAUUUGAGACUGGAGAGCUUGAGUUCGGGAGAGGAGAGCGGAAUUCCCAGUGUAGAGGUGAAAUUCGUAGAUAUUGGGAAGAACACCGGUGGCGAAGGCGGCUCUCUGGACCGAUACUGACGCUGAGGCGC